UUGGUGACCAGCGGAGGGAUCAUUACCGAGUUUACAACUCCCAAACCCCUGUGAACAUACCUUAAUGUUGCCUCGGCGGAUCAGCCCGCGCCCCGUAAAACGGGACGGCCCGCCAGAGGACCCAAACUCUAAUGUUUCUUAUUGUAACUUCUGAGUAAAACAAACAAAUAAAUCAAAACUUUCAACAACGGAUCUCUUGGUUCUGGCAUCGAUGAAGAACGCAGCAAAAUGCGAUAAGUAAUGUGAAUUGCAGAAUUCAGUGAAUCAUCGAAUCUUUGAACGCACAUUGCGCCCGCUGGUAUUCCGGCGGGCAUGCCUGUUCGAGCGUCAUUUCAACCCUCAAGCCCCCGGGUUUGGUGUUGGGGAUCGGCUCUGCCCUUCUGGGCGGCGCCGCCCCCGAAAUACAUUGGCGGUCUCGCUGCAGCCUCCAUUGCGUAGUAGCUAACACCUCGCAACUGGAACGCGGCGCGGCCAUGCCGUAAAACCCCAACUUCUGAAUGUUGACCUCGGAUCAGGUAGGAAUACCCGCUGAACUUAAGCAUAUCAAUAAGCGGAGGAAAAGAAACCAACAGGGAUUGCCCUAGUAACGGCGAGUGAAGCGGCAACAGCUCAAAUUUGAAAUCUGGCUUUCGGGCCCGAGUUGUAAUUUGUAGAGGAUACUUUUGAUGCGGUGCCUUCCGAGUUCCCUGGAACGGGACGCCAUAGAGGGUGAGAGCCCCGUCUGGUUGGAUGCCAAAUCUCUGUAAAGUUCCUUCGACGAGUCGAGUAGUUUGGGAAUGCUGCUCUAAAUGGGAGGUAUAUGUCUUCUAAAGCUAAAUAUUGGCCAGAGACCGAUAGCGCACAAGUAGAGUGAUCGAAAGAUGAAAAGCACUUUGAAAAGAGAGUUAAAAAGUACGUGAAAUUGUUGAAAGGGAAGCGUUUAUGACCAGACUUGGACUUGGUUAAUCAUCUGGGGUU
rnacentral:rRNA from 1 species